GGGCGCGUAGCUCAGUUGGACAGAGCGUCGGACUUCUAAUCCGACGGUCGCGGGUUCGAAUCCCGUCGCGCCCG
rnacentral:tRNA from 4 species